rnacentral:tRNA from 2 species
GGCGCUGUAGCUCAGUUGGUAGAGCAAAGGACUGAAAAUCCUUGUGUCCCCGGUUCGAGCCCGGGUGGUGCCA